UACGUAGGGUGCGAGCGUUGUCCGGAAUUAUUGGGCGUAAAGAGCUCGUAGGCGGUGUGUCGCGUCGGCCGUGAAAACCUGCAGCUUAACUGUGGGCUUGCGGUCGAUACGGGCAUCACUGGAGUUCGGCAGGGGAGACUGGAAUUCCUGGUGUAGCGGUGAAAUGCGCAGAUAUCAGGAGGAACACCGGUGACGAAGGCGGGUCUCUGGCCCGAUACUGACGCUGAGGCACGAAAGCGUGGGGAGCAAACAGG
rnacentral:rRNA from 1 species